GUGAAUCAUCGAAUUUUUGAACGCAAAUUGCACUCUCUUCGGAGAGUAUGCCUGUUUGAGGGUCAGCCUAAAAAGAAUCGACAUAGUUGCUGUUUCGCGGUGACAUUCGUCGGAAAUUGGGUCAUCUUAACCCUUUGGUUUUUAAGCGCCUUAAAUUUUUUUUUCCGUUCCCACGAACGUUUCUAAGUUUUUCUUCUUUCCCCU
rnacentral:misc_RNA from 1 species